rnacentral:rRNA from 1 species
GAUGAACGCUGGCGGCGUGCCUAAUACAUGCAAGUCGAGCGAAUGGAUUAAGAGCUUGCUCUUAUGAAGUUAGCGGCGGACGGGUGAGUAACACGUGGGUAACCUGCCCAUAAGACUGGGAUAACUCCGGGAAACCGGGGCUAAUACCGGAUAACAUUUUGAACCGCAUGGUUCGAAAUUGAAAGGCGGCUUGGGCUGUCCCUUAUGGAUGGACCCGCGUCGCAUUAGCUAGUUGGUGAGGUAACGGCUCACCAAGGCAACGAUGCGUAGCCGACCUGAGAGGGUGAUCGGCCACACUGGGACUGAGACACGGCCCAGACUCCUACGGGAGGCAGCAGUAGGGAAUCUUCCGCAAUGGACGAAAGUCUGACGGAGCAACGCCGCGUGAGUGAUGAAGGCUUUCGGGUCGUAAAACUCUGUUGUUAGGGAAGAACAAGUGCUAGUUGAAUAAGCUGACACCUUGACGGUACUUAACCAGAAAGCCACGGCUAACUACGUGCCAGCCGCCGCGGUAA